UGCCAGCCGCCGCGGUAAUACGGAGGGGGUUAGCGUUGUUCGGAAUUACUGGGCGUAAAGCGCACGUAGGCGGACUAUUAAGUAGAGGGUGAAAUCCCGGGGCUCAACCCCGGAACUGCCUUCUAUACUGGUAGUCUUGAGUUCGAGAGAGGUGAGUGGAAUUCCGAGUGUAGAGGUGAAAUUCGUAGAUAUUGGGAAGAACACCAGUGGCGAAGGCGGCUAACUGGCUCGGUACUGACGCUGAGAUGCGAAAGCGUGGGGAGCAAACAGGAUUAGAUA
rnacentral:rRNA from 1 species